UACGAAGGGAACUAGCGUUGUUCGGAAUCACUGGGCGUAAAGCGCGCGCAGGCGGACUAACAAGUCAGAGGUGAAAUCCCAAGGCUCAACCUUGGAAUUGCCUUUGAAACUGUUAGUCUGGAGUGCAUGAGGGGAUAGCGGAAUUUCGAAUGUAGCAGUGAAAUGCGUAGAUAUUCGAAGGAACACCGGUGGCGAAGGCGGCUAUCUGGCAUGCAACUGACGCUGAGGCGCGAAAGCGUGGGGAUCAAACAGG
rnacentral:rRNA from 1 species